rnacentral:rRNA from 1 species
AGAGUUUGAUCAUGGCUCAGAAUCAACGCUGGCGGCGUGCCUCAGACAUGCAAGUCGAACGAUUAAAGCUCCCUUCGGGGAGUGCAUAGAGUGGCGCACGGGUGAGUAACACGUAAGUAAUCUACCUUCGAGUGGGGAAUAACGUCCGGAAACGGACGCUAAUACCGCAUAAUGCGGCGGCAUCGCAAGAUGACAGUUGUUAAAGAUUUAUCGCUUGAAGAGGGGCUUGCGGCAGAUUAGCUUGUUGGUAAGGUAAUGGCUUACCAAGGCUACGAUCUGUAUCCGGUCUAAGAGGACGGUCGGACACACUGACACUGAAUAACGGGUCAGACUCCUACGGGAGGCAGCAGUGGGGAAUCUUGCGCAAUGCGCGAAAGCGUGACGCAGCAACGCCGCGUGGGGGAAGACGGCCUUCGGGUUGUAAACCCCUUUCAGGAGGGACGAAGGCCGAGCGGUUAAUAGCCGACUCGGUUGACGGUACCUCCAUAAGAAGCCCCGGCUAACUACGUGCCAGCCGCCGCGGUAAUUCA